GAACAACGCGGCGCAAUAGGGGAUUGGGAAUUUGAGGCUAUUGAUUGAAGCCUUCCAAGCCUUGCCCUCAGUUAAAAUGACGACUUCAGUUGCUUUCAGUUACGUGAAAUCGGAGGGCCACAGGCGAGGCUUUCCGAGUCGGCCGCAGGGCAAGUCGGGAAAUGAUUUUAAACUGGAGGGCGUGGCGUGUGUGGAAAAGCGCCUAGACGAGCGGAACUUUCAAGUCUACCUUUGAUCCCCGGAGAGCUCCGGAGAAGGGUCUUUGGGGACUCCCUGUUUUUCGUGGGCCGGCGCCAGCUUCCGAAGAGCGAGGAUCAUAGAGCCGGGCAGCUUGGGAAGCCGAGCUGUCUCUCCCGGGGGAAGUCGCAGGUCUUGCUCGAGCCUGAGGGAAGCUAGGUUCACUCCAGGACUCCUGAUGUCUCUUCUGAACUCACCGGGGAUUGCUUCGGUUCUCUCUUAAGCAGUCAUUUUGGCCACUUUCUUCUUCUUAAAAAACCAAAACCUUUCGUCUCGACGUAGUCUUGGAGCAAAACUUGAAGGAUGAUUCGUGAAUCCGGAGUGGAUGACAGUGUCUUUACGACAUAGUUUUGACCAUGGAUUCCUGUGAUUUUCGAGGACUGACUUCUAGACGAAGGACCUCAAAUCUUAAGAACUACUUUGUAGGUGCCACCCCUCUGCAGAAACGACUGGAAUUGGUCAGGAGGCAGAAUUCAGAUUUUCCCAGUCCAUCUCGAAGGAAAAUUCCCCAGUGUUCACAGUUGCAGGAAGAUAUCGAUCCUCAGAAGGUUGCAUUUCUCCUCCACAAACAGUGGACUAUAUAUAGUUUAACUCCCUUGUAUAAAUUCUCCUAUUCUAAUCUCAAAGACUAUUCUAGACUUCUAAGUGCAUUUAUUGUUGCCGAAAAGCAAAAAGGAGUAGCUGUGGAAGUGGGAGAAGACUUCAACAUCAAAGUGAUUUUCUCCACUCUACUUGGAGUGAAAGGGACACAAAGGGACCAUGAAGCGUUUCUUGUCCAGGCUUACCUGCCCAGGGUAAGAGGGCUCUCCCACAUCAGUCAGUGAUCAAGAAAAUGUCCCACAGACCUGUCUGUGAGGGCAGUUGGGUAUAGAAAUUCCUCAAUUGAUGGUCUCUCUUCCUGGAUGACUGUAGCUGUGUUAAGAUUCUCUCAAAAUCUCAGUCAUCACGUGAACACAGAGAAGAUAAAGUGUUGUGGACUGGUUGGUUCUGUUGUGUGUUUGGAGAGAGUCUUCAGGAGACUGUCUCAGAAGACUUCACCUGUCUACCCUUAUUCCUUGCAAAUGGAGCGGAGUCCAAUACAUCUUUAAUCAGAGACUGGUUUCAGAAAACCUUUGACUGUUGCUUCAGUCCUUUAGCAAUCAGUGCGUUUAAUCUUUCCUGGAUGGCUGCUAUGUGGACAGCAUGCAAAAUGGACCGUUAUAUGGCUACUACUGAAUUUCUUUGGUCUGUGCCCUGUAGCCCACAGAGCUUAGAUAUUUCUUAUGCAAUACAUCCAGAAGAUGCAAAAGCUUUAUGGGAAAGUGUCCACAAAACCCCUGGGGAGGUUACCCAGGAGGAAGUUGACUUAUUUAUGAACUGCCUUUAUUCACAUUUCCAUAGGCAUUUCAAAAUUCACUUAGCAGCCACAAGAUUGGUUCGUGUCUCAACAUCUGUAGCUUCAGCACACACUGAUGGGAAAAUAAAGAUUCUGUGUCAUAAAUACCUUAUUGGUGUGUUGGCAUAUAUGACAGAACUGGCAAUUUUUCAAAUUGAAUGAAUUUUUGUAUGGACUAAGUGAUGCAUUAUAAACUGUUUUGAUCAUUUGCUGAACUGCGAUGCCAAGUGGGACAGUGGAAGAAAUGGAGCACUUGUCUCAGGGUGCCUCUGGAGUUGCCCAGAUGGAUAUAGAACAUAGUGGUAGUGGGUGAGCCGCGUUCAUGGGCUUGUGUAUCCAGCAUAUCACUGUGGCUGUGUCCUGUUAUAAAAGAUGCUGAAUUGUUAAUAUAAAAGGAUCCAAUUUAGUCAAAUAAACUUACCUAAAAUCUGGUGUUUCCAAUUGAAGUUAUUUAUUCUGUUAGUGGGGCUUGCCUCUGAGGUUCCUUCCUGACUUCCUUGAUUUUUCACCUCUAGAUUUCCCUCAGUUUGGUUUUUUGAUUCUCUUUCCACUUUCAUGUCUUGAACUGUUUUAUUAAUUUCUUUCUACUGUUUGUGUCUUUCAUAGAGUUAAGGAUUAAUUCCCUUUUUUAAAGACCUCUACCAUAUUCAUAAGUGCUAUUUUAAGGUCUUUUGUCUUGUGUUUCAGCUAUGUUGUAAUUCUCAGGGCCUACUGUGGUAGGUUGCUGGGCUCUAGUGGAGACAUUGUGUCCUGGCUGUUACUGAGUAUAUUUUUAUGAUGGCAUCUGGGUUUGGGAAGAGUGUAAUACAUGAUGUUGAUAUUCAUAA